GGUCAAGUUAUUAAGGGUGCAGGGCGGAUGCCUUGGCACUAGGAGCCGAUGAAGGACGUGAUAAGCUGCGAUAAGCUUCGGGGAGUUGCACGUAAACUUUGAUCCGAAGAUUUCCGAAUGAGGAAACUCACUUAGAGUAAUGUCUAAGUAUCAUUAAGUGAAUACAUAGCUUAAUGAGGGGAACUCAGGGAACUGAAACAUCUAAGUACCUGAAGGAAGAGAAAGAAAUUCGAUUCCGUAAGUAGCGGCGAGCGAACGCGGAUUAGCCCAAACCAAUAAAGUUUUCUUUAUUGGGGUUGCGGACAUAUCAUAACGAAGAGGUAUCGUAAUUGAAGAGGUUUGGAAAGACCCACCACAGAAGGUAAUAGUCCUGUAUGUUAAACGAGAAGACUUUAGAUAUGAUCCAGAGUACCACGGGACACGUGAAACCCUGUGGGAAGCAGGAGGGACCACCCUCCAAGGCUAAAUACUACCUAGUGACCGAUAGCGUAUAGUACCGUGAGGGAAAGGUGAAAAGAACCCCGGGAGGGGAGUGAAAUAGAACCUGAAACCCUGCACUUACAAGCUGUGGAAGCACAUUUCUUGUGUGACCGCGUACUUUUUGUAGAACGGGCCAACGAGUUACGUUAAGUAGCAAGGUUAAGCACUUAAGGUGUGGAGCCGUAGCGAAAGCGAGUUUUAACUGAGCGUUCAGUUACUUGACGUAGACCCGAAACCGGGCGACCUACCCAUGAGCAGGAUGAAGCGAAAGUAAAAUUUCGUGGAGGUCCGAACCCACGAGCGUUGAAAAGCUCGGGGAUGACUUGUGGGUAGCGGUGAAAUUCCAAUCGAGCCCGGAGAUAGCUGGUUCUCCCCGAAAUAGCUUUAGGGCUAGCCUCAAGGUGAGAGAUACGGAGGUAGAGCACUGAAUGUCCUAGGGGGUAUUGCACCUACCGAAGACUAUCAAACUCCGAAUGCCGUCAUCUUAUACUUGGGAGUCAGACUGUGGGUGAUAAGAUUCAUAGUCGAAAGGGCAACAGCCCAGAUCGUCAGCUAAGGUCCCUAAAUGUAAGUUAAGUGGUAAAGGAUGUGGGAUUGCACAGACAACCAGGAUGUUGGCUUAGAAGCAGCCACUCAUUCAAAGAGUGCGUAAUAGCUCACUGGUCGAGUGAUCCUGCGCCGAAGAUUUCCGGGGCUAAAACUUACUACCGAAGCUACGGCAUCAGUAAUGAUGGGUAGGGGAGCUUCCCAUACGGGUUGAAGCAUGACCGUAAGGACAUGUGGACAGUAUGGGAGUGAGAAUGUUGGCAUGAGUAGCGAGAUGUGGGUGAGAAUCCCACAGGCCGUAAACCCAAGGUUUCCAGGGGAAGGUUCGUCCGCCCUGGGUUAGUCGGGACCUAAGCUGAGGCCGAAAGGCGUAGGUGAUGGACAACAGGUUGAUAUUCCUGUACUACCGAUAACCGUUUGAGAGAAGGGAUGACACAGUAGGAUAAGCUAAGCACACUGUUGGUUAUGUGUGCCCAAGCAUUGAGGCAGUCAAAGUAGGCAAAUCCGCUUUGAUAAUGCUGGGAUGUGAUGGGGAGCGAAAUUUAGUAGCGAAGUAGCUGAUUUCACACUGUCAAGAAAAGUCUCUAUCGAGGUUAAAGGUACCCGUACCGCAAACCGACACAGGUGGGUGAGGAGAGUAUCCUAAGGCCAGCGAGAGAACUGUUGUUAAGGAACUCGGCAAAAUGACCCCGUAACUUAGGGAUAAGGGGUGCCACCAUCAGGUGGCCGCAGAGAAUAGGCCCAAGCGACUGUUUACCAAAAACAUAGGUUUCUGCUAAGUCGCAAGACGAUGUAUAGGAGCUGACGCCUGCCCGGUGCUGGAAGGUUAAGGGGAUCUGUUAGAGCAAUCGAAGCAGUGAACUUAAGCCCCAGUAAACGGCGGCCGUAACUAUAACGGUCCUAAGGUAGCGAAAUUCCUUGUCGGGUAAGUUCCGACCCGCACGAAAGGCGUAACGAUUUGGGCACUGUCUCAACAACAGACUCGGUGAAAUUGUAAUUCCGGUGAAGAUGCCGGAUACCUGCGACAGGACGGAAAGACCCCAUGGAGCUUUACUGUAGCUUGACAUUGGGUCUUGGUACUACAUGUACAGGAUAGGUGGGAGGCUUUGAAACCAGGACGCCAGUUUUGGCGGAGCCAUCCUUGGGAUACCACCCUUGUAGUACUGGGACUCUAACCAUAGGCCAUGAAUCUGGUCUUGGGACACUGUCAGGUGGGCAGUUUGACUGGGGCGGUCGCCUCCCAAAAGGUAACGGAGGCGCUCAAAGGUUCUCUCAGUACGGUCGGAAAUCGUACGUAGAGUGUAAAGGCAAAAGAGAGCUUGAUUGCAAGACAUACAGGUCGAGCAAGGAUGAAAAUCGGACUUAGUGAUCCGGUGGUUCUGCGUGGAAGGGCCAUCGCUCAACGGAUAAAAGCUACCCUGGGGAUAACAGGCUUAUCUCCCCCAAGAGUCCACAUCGACGGGGAGGUUUGGCACCUCGAUGUCGGCUCAUCACAUCCUGGGGCUGUAGUAGGUCCCAAGGGUUGGGCUGUUCGCCCAUUAAAGUGGUACGCGAGCUGGGUUCAGAACGUCGUGAGACAGUUCGGUCCCUAUCCGUCGCAGGCGUAGGAAAUUUGAGAAGACCUGUCCUUAGUACGAGAGGACCGGGAUGGACG
rnacentral:rRNA from 1 species